AAAAAGGCAAACUAUGGGUUUCCGUUUCCAAUUUUGACUGUCCGUCUUAUAUGAAAUUUUUUUAUAAUUCGUAUUUUUAUUGUUGCUAGAUGAUAAAACAUAAUUAAUAUUUUAUGCGUGACUUGUCUUUUUAAUUUUUUUUAUAUUUUUUUCAAAUAAGACGAACGGUAAAACGUUAGGUACGGAAAUCAGACGGAGAGAGCAGU
rfam:Oryza sativa (indica cultivar-group) chromosome 11, whole genome shotgun sequence.